rnacentral:rRNA from 1 species
AAAACGGAGAGUUUGAUCCUGGCUCAGGAUGAACGCUGGCGGCGUGCUUAACACAUGCAAGUCGAACGAACCUUCGGGUUAGUGGCGGACGGGUGAGUAACGCGUGAGAAUCUGCCCUCAGGAGGGGGAUAACAGUUGGAAACGACUGCUAAUACCCCAUAUGCCGAGAGGUGAAAUGAAUUUCGCCUGGGGAUGAGCUCGCGUCUGAUUAGCUUGUUGGUGGGGUAACAGCCUACCAAGGCCUCGAUCAGUAGCUGGUCUGAGAGGACGAUCAGCCACACUGGGACUGAGACACGGCCCAGACUCCUACGGGAGGCAGCAGUGGGGAAUAUUGCGCAAUGGGCGAAAGCCUGACGCAGCAACGCCGCGUGGGGGAUGACGGCCUUCGGGUUGUAAACCCCUUUCAGCAGGGACGAAAAUGACGGUACCUGCAGAAGAAGCCCCGGCCAACUACGUGCCAGCAGCCGCGGUAACACGUAGGGGGCAAGCGUUGUCCGGAUUUAUUGGGCGUAAAGAGCUCGUAGGCGGUUGCGUAAGUCGGAUGUGAAAACUCAGGGCUCAACCCGGAGACGCCAUCCGAUACUGCGCUGACUAGAGUCCGGUAGAGGAGCAUGGAAUUCCUGGUGUAGCGGUGGAAUGCGCAGAUAUCAGGAGGAACACCAGCGGCGAAGGCGGUGCUCUGGGCCGGUACUGACGCUGAGGAGCGAAAGCGUGGGUAGCGAACAGGAUUAGAUACCCUGGUAGUCCACGCCGUAAACGUUGGGCACUAGGUGUGGGGCCUCCUUAACGGGCUCCGUGCCGUAGCUAACGCAUUAAGUGCCCCGCCUGGGGAGUACGGCCGCAAGGCUAAAACUCAAAGGAAUUGACGGGGGCCCGCACAAGCGGCGGAGCAUGUUGCUUAAUUCGAGGCAACGCGAAGAACCUUACCUGGGUUUGACAUGUUGGGGACAGCCGCAGAGAUGCGGCCUCCUUAUGGUCCCAUCACAGGUGGUGCAUGGCUGUCGUCAGCUCGUGUCGUGAGAUGUUGGGUUAAGUCCCGCAACGAGCGCAACCCACGUUUUUAGUUGCCAGCAUUCAGUUGGGCACUCUAAAGAGACUGCCGGUGACAAACCGGAGGAAGGUGUGGACGACGUCAAGUCAUCAUGCCCCUUACGCCUUGGGCUACACACGUACUACAAUGCUGCGGACAAAGAGUAGCGAUCUUGCGAAAGUUAGCUAAUCUCAUAAACCGUGGCUCAGUUCAGAUCGUAGGCUGCAACUCGCCUACGUGAAGGAGGAAUCGCUAGUAAUCGCAGGUCAGCAUACUGCGGUGAAUACGUUCCCGGGCCUUGUACACACCGCCCGUCACACCAUGGAAGUUGGCCAUGCCCGAAGUCGUUACUCUAACCUUUUGGAAGAGGGCGCCGAAGGCAGGGCUAAUGACUGGGGUGAAGUCGUAACAAGGUAGCCGUAGCGGAAGCUGCGGCUGGAUCACCUCCUAA